ACCCCAUUUCUACUAAAAUUAAAAGUCAGACAUGGUAGCACAUGCCUGUAAUCCCAGCUACUCAGGAGGCUGAGGCAUGAGAAUCCCUUGAACCCAGGAAGUGGAGGUCACAGCGAGCUGAGAUUGUGCCAUUGCACUCCAGCCUGGGCAACAGAGCAAGACUGCCUCAAAAAAAAAAAAAAAGAAAAGAAAAAGAAAAAGAUUUUGGAGUUUGGUUGCCUGGGUUUGUAGCCUGGCUCUAUUCCUCCUAGCUGUGGGAUCUUAGGCAAGGGGCUUCCUCAAUAUAUGCCUCAGUUUUCCCAGCUGUAACCUGAGGAUAACAACAGUACCUGCCCCAUGGAGUUAUUAGGAGGAUGAAAUGUUCUUAUAUUUGUAAACGGCUUAGACUGAUGCCCAGCAAGUCAUGUGUGUUCCAUAAACGAGACUUUUUAUUGACAUAUUCAAUUAGGCAGAAAACCACACAAAAACCUUUAAGAACUUAAUACUUUAAAAAUAAGUUUAUUAUAACUAACGAAUAUAAAAUCUGACAGAUAUUUUCAAACAUUUUUGCAAAAAAAGUAAAACCCUCCCCUGUCACCCCUCCCCACAAGAUAGAGAAUAAGGACUUGGACAGAGAAACAAUACAAAUCUAAACAUGAAACUGUCGCUCAUCGGUUGGUCCCAAGAGGCUCCAACAUAUUAUAUUCUAAGUAAAGGUCCAUUAAAUUAAGAAGUUAACAAGCCACUUGACACUUUUAUAGUUUAACUUGCCUUCUACUCUGAUUAUGAUGCUCAUUCAAAAUGCUGAGAGACAAGAACAGGUAACAUUAACACUGCACGUGACAGAUAUUCAAAGUGCAUAAAUCUAUGAAACCACAAACAUUCAUAAGAAUACUAGGCAUGGAAUUAAACAGUGACUUAAAAAUUAAUCCAAGGAAAUCUAUGUACAUUUUAGCCUUUGGCAUCUGGUCUAUCAUGUUUCUUCUUUAUGUAGACAUUAAUUUGUUAAGUCUAUUAACCAGAUUAAAUUUAUCUGAACACAUUUCUCAUCUGACACAGAUUGUCCACAGCCAAUUUCACAUGAGGUAGUUGGGCUGUUUAAUGACAUUCUAGUGAAAUUCUCACAUAGCUUAGCUGAAAACAUUUGUUCACUCUGGAACAGAAGUGAUUAAUACAGGAAACAAAGAAUUUUGAAGACUUUUGCAUUGCAGAGUAGUGGUAUUUUUUUCCUUUUAAUUAAAGGCUAUAUAAAAACAGCAGAGAAGAAAGAUCAAUGCAUGCAUCAACUGUACCAGAGAGGCACUGUUAAUGACUGUUUAAUCAUGCCCUGGAGUGCCUGAAUGCAGCAGUGCAAUGAGAAAUCAUGCAAAUAGUCACUGUACACAGGACUAUUGACUGUCUGAGACAGGAUGGGAAUUGGGAACAUUUACAGGGAAGGUCUAGUAAACAGUAUAUUUAUGGAAUUGUUGAAAGAACUCCUAAUGACGUUGUGAUACAGAUAAACAGUCUUAAAAUACCAUUAGACAGCUAGUGAAUUAUUUUUUAUGAAAUGACUAUGAAACCCCUGAGUAAGCAACUGCGGAUUACAAAGGGACAUACAGAAGUAGAAUGUACUUCUAACGAAAGCAUUCUAUAUACAAUCCAUAAGAAUACAAAUUUACCAUACAUAAUGAAGUUUGUGUAGAGCCCUUACAAGAUCACAAAGAGUAUCUGAAGUCAGGCCCUCUAAGACCAAACACAUCAGCUCAGCUAACAGAACAAUGGCUAAAAAUAUAUUUUACUUAUAAACUCUACAUCUAAAAAUUUUAAAAUUUAAAAAAGGUUGAUAGAUUAUCUUAAAAAAAGAAAUGAAACAUGAGGGAGAGCUGAAUACUUGUAAAACCUGUGACUAAAAUCAGAAGCAACUGGUUUUAAUCAGUGAUUCAGAGACGCACCAUUAUAUAACCAAGUUCUUGUAGGACAUGGUAGUUUGCUAGGAAAAAAACUUAAUUUUCCUCCAGGAAGCUCCCCAAAUGCCUCGCAUCAUCGUCUAUUGCUCAUGACCCUCUGACUCUAUUGCCUGAUCUGAUGUUUCUCCAUAUGUAUGAUUUUCACAAUCAGAUUAAGUUUCCUUAAAAAAAAAUCUCUUACUUUGGCUCCUCUUUCCCUCACUUCAAAUUUAGUGGAGAAAAAUGUACUUUACUUAUUUGGUCCCUAUCACAUAUUUUUAAUUAAAAACACUUUUCUGAAAAUAUAAAGUUAAAAGCAUCAACUUUUUGUUAAUAUAUUUGGAAAGUAAUAACCAAAAGGAGAAGAGUGCAAAUUUUUUUCCGCUGCACUCCUCUAAUAAUCAUCUUUCCUAGGUGCCCCAUGUCAUGUCAUUCACCCGCUUUCCAGCUACAAAUGGGAAUAUGGGCUCCUUCUUAAGAAGCUCUUGCAGUCUGGGGGGUGGGGGAACAGAAUCCCCACUGAUCAGGCACGCAGCCCUGGGCUAAGGUGGUGCCAGAUACUCUACAUAUGUGCUAGAAGCUGCUCCUGGGAAAUGGGGCAGAACAAACAUAAGUGGGGGUAGAUUUGGUGUGCUGAUGGCGGUACUGCUGGCAAUUUUCAGUAGCAAAGAAGAGAGAAAAGCAACAACGCUGGACUAUGGAGUUCAGAAAUCCCUCAUCAUGGAAUAUGACAUUGGGGGAAGUUUAAUAAUCAGAAUAACAUGCAAAAAAUGAUAAGAAGGUGCCUCAAGCCACUACUUAUACAUCCUAAUGAGAACUACCCUUCGAAGUCAAUGUCUUGGGCCCACAGGCUCAACAUUCUGUGAGAGCUCCUCUUCUGGAACUCCCUUCAGAGCUACAUCAAGAGCCAAUGAGAAGACCAUCUUCUCCUCAUAGUUACAAUUUGGUUUCACUCCCAAAAGGGAUCUCUCCAAUUUAACAUUUUUCACCAGCAUUAGCUAUAAGGAAUCUGACUUGCUUUCAAAAGUCAAGAGACUUGCCAUCAUUGAAAAUAUUUUGUUUAAUUCAACAAAUACACCCUGAUCCCUACAAAGUGUAAACACUGGCUUUUACCAUAGAGAAAAGUACAGGCACGAUGAAAUUGUGUGGAAAUGUCUCAUAAGGGGUUAGCCUAAUGUUACUUAUUUGUGUCUACAAUACCUAGUAGACCAAUUUCCUUUUUCUUCCAGUUCUCUCUAAAGGUUACGCUAGAAAAAUAAUCCUAAAAAUGCUUUGAGCGAUGAGAACAAAGUGAUUACUCUGCCAACAAAAUACUAGAGUUUUCUCACCUCCUCUCACAGUAAUGGUGAAAGUAAAUUUAGUUGUCCCAGAAGUCUUGGAGGGCUAUGGAGAGAAAGCUUUAAAUAUCUUUUCUCAUUGCCCUCUUCUUGGAAAGUGAUUACACAUCAGCGCAAAUUAUGACUUUAACUAAAACAGAGAGCAAAUACUUUAGAUGUAGGAGGAAGCUCUGACUAUGCCAAGGUUCAGGUUAAGCUGAAUUUACUGUUUAGUAUUAGGUUCAAUUUCUAAUUUCUAAUAUUUUUAUUUAAGGAUCCUCAGUUCCUUAAGCAAACUUUUACACAUCUUAAACAAACUUUUAUACAUCUUAGGCAAACGUAAUAUGCUCCAGUGGGGAAAAUACCUAUUAAAAAAUAUUACCCUCUUUCUACAGAUGUGGAAAAAGGGUAAUUGGAAAAUGUAACUUAUUCAAGCUAUUCUGUCUGAUCUGGGUUCUCAAUGAUCUCAGAUAAUAUUAAGCCCCUCAUUCCCAGCAAAUUAAGUUGUGUACAUCUAGUCACUACCUAUACAAAUGCAAAAUGGCCAUGCUGAGCAGCUUUCCUUUUGUGUGUAUUCAGAGUUGCGGUGGCAAACCUGAGGUAUUUUCAGAGUGCUACCUCUCCAAGAGACCACAGAGUUCACCUGAGGUGACAGGGAGCACCAGCAGCUGUUUAGAAUGAUCACACUGCACAAUUCUAACAACCACCUGGUAUCAUCCCCGCUAAAUGGUACAAUGCCUAAAACAUCUUCAUUCAAAGUACAAGCAAAAACUGGCUUUUUCUUUUUCCGUUUUAGGGGGCUAUGUCAAGGGCAGGGACUAUCCCCGAGUCCUGCCAUCAUAUUCAUACUAAUCAGAGAAGGAGAUCUAUACUCACUGCUCAUGAGAGUGGGAGGGAAAUAACACACACACACCUUGGCAAAAUACAAAAUAAUCAACAUCAUUUUAAUACCCCCCUUCUUUCUCCCUAGCUUUAAAACAUGUGAUGUUGAUUUUUCAAGUUUAAGUAUUUUCCAGAAGUCUUUAUGUGGGCAAAAUACCUAAUUAAUCUGAGCUAAAUAAAUGUUCAUUUGUUUAAAGACACACAAAGGCAAAACCAAUACCCCUCCCUACAUAAACUUCUCUGACUAAAGAGAGAAUUCUCUCCAUCCUAGAGAUCUGCAGCAGGAACAGCAUCAUCUAGAGAUGAUGCUCUCAAUUCAACCAAGCCCCUCAAAGGACCUUCUACCCUGGAUAACUACCUCAUGCUGGAACUUCCCUUCCUGUUACUAGAAGGAAGUAGCCUCUAAUGGGGAAGGUACCCAUGGCUUCUCUCCGAUGCACACUCGAGGCAGCAUGGUCUACUGAGACUAGGGCCAGGGUUGGAGCAUCACACUGUGCAGAAGAAUGCCCACUCAAUAUUGUUUUAUGAAACAAUGUUUCUUAAGUUUUAAGAAGUUUAAGAAACUGUUUUCUUAAGUCUCAUCUUUCAACUAUGACACUGUCCCAAAGCUUUUGAGAUUGAUAAACAGCUGCAUUUUGCCUGCUCUGCACUUUUGGUGAUUAAACCGAGAUUGAUUGGUAAGCAGAUUCAGAGUCAUGGUCCCCGAAUGCAAUGCAAAGGCCUGCUGGCUGGGUGUCAAUGCUGGCUCAAUUAAGAAUGCUGCUGAAUGAACCUGCUCCACUUCUCACUCUCCAUUUAGCUAUUUUAUUUAAAUAGCAGCCUUAUCCUCUUUGAAAAAAAAAAAAAGGACAUAUCAUUUAGUUCUUGAAGAAAACUGGUAAUUUUGUAAACUAGAAUUUAAUCUAGUUGCUCU
rnacentral:lncRNA from 10 species